GACCACGGCCGCACCACCCUGAACACGCCCGAUCCCGUCUGAUCUCGGAAGCUGAGCAGGGUCGGGCCUGGUGAGCACUUGGUAUGGGAGACCACCUAGGAAGACCAGGUGCUGUAAGCG
rnacentral:rRNA from 1 species